AGUGAACGCUGGCGGUACGCCUAACACAUGCAAGUCGAACGGCAGCACAGUAAGAGCUUGCUCUUACGGGUGGCGAGUGGCGGACGGGUGAGGAAUACAUCGGAAUCUACUUUUUCGUGGGGGAUAACGUAGGGAAACUUACGCUAAUACCGCAUACGACCUACGGGUGAAAGCAGGGGAUCUUCGGACCUUGCGCGAUUGAAUGAGCCGAUGUCGGAUUAGCUAGUUGGCGGGGUAAAGGCCCACCAAGGCGACGAUCCGUAGCUGGUCUGAGAGGAUGAUCAGCCACACUGGAACUGAGACACGGUCCAGACUCCUACGGGAGGCAGCAGUGGGGAAUAUUGGACAAUGGGCGCAAGCCUGAUCCAGCCAUACCGCGUGGGUGAAGAAGGCCUUCGGGUUGUAAAGCCCUUUUGUUGGGAAAGAAAAGCAGCAGGUUAAUACCCCGCUGUUCUGACGGUACCCAAAGAAUAAGCACCGGCUAACUUCGUG
rnacentral:rRNA from 1 species